rnacentral:rRNA from 1 species
CCUACGGGAGGCAGCAGUGGGGAAUAUUGGACAAUGGGCGAAAGCCUGAUCCAGCAAUGCCGCGUGAGUGAUGAAGGCCUUAGGGUUGUAAAGCUCUUUUACCAGGGAUGAUAAUGACAGUACCUGGAGAAUAAGCUCCGGCUAACUCCGUGCCAGCAGCCGCGGUAAUACGGAGGGAGCUAGCGUUGUUCGGAAUUACUGGGCGUAAAGCGUACGUAGGCGGUUAUUCAAGUCAGAGGUGAAAGCCUGGAGCUCAACUCCAGAACUGCCUUUGAAACUAGAUAACUAGAAUCACGGAGAGGUGAGUGGAAUUCCGAGUGUAGAGGUGAAAUUCGUAGAUAUUCGGAAGAACACCAGUGGCGAAGGCGGCUCACUGGACGUGUAUUGACGCUGAGGUACGAAAGCGUGGGGAGCAAACAGGAUUAGAUACCCUGGUAGUCCACGCCGUAAACGAUGAUAACUAGCUGCCAGGGCUCUUAGAGCUUUGGUGGCGCAGCUAACGCAUUAAGUUAUCCGCCUGGGGNGUACGGUCGCAGAUUAAAACCUCAAAUGAAUUGACGG